CGCGCAGGCGGCCUUUUAAGUUGGAUGUGAAAGCCUACGGCUCAACCGUAGAACUGCAUCCAAAACUACUAGGCUAGAGUGUGGGAGAGGAAGAUGGAAUUAGUUGUGUAGGGGUAAAAUCCGUAGAGAUAACUAGGAAUACCAAAAGCGAAGGCAAUCUUCUGGAACAUUACUGACGCUGAGGCGCGAAAGCGUGGGGAGCAAACA
rnacentral:rRNA from 1 species